UCCACAACCAGCUAGUUUUGUAGCUAAAUGAUACGGAACCCGAAAACCCACCACGAAACAACGCGUUUUUAUUUCAUUUGUUAGUAUUUAUUGAUACAUCAAACGACAUCAAUAAUCAACGUUUUGUUUACGGAUAACACGCGUGGUAACGUACCUCUAUCGAGGAUAACGUAGCUUUAAUUUGUAUUAUUAUUAUUUUUUUAACUGCACCAGCUUUAUGUGAGGACAAAGGCCUACACAUUACUCGCUGCUUCCAACGCAUGUAUCCCUCUUGGGGUAGUAACUAUGGUGGUGGUGGCGGCCAUCAACCACCUUCGCAGCAGAACUUCGGUGCGCCGAGGGGUCAGUCUCCUCAAGGCGAAGGUUUCGGGGGAGGAUUCGGGGGCUAUGGAGCUGUUACACCCGCAGCUACACCCGGGUCAACGUUCAACAGCCUGCGGGAACAGCAUCUCCAGCAGAUGCAGCAACUGCAACAACUCCACCAAAAACAGCUUCAAUCUGUGCUGCACCACGACAGGAACGUAAAUGAAAACCCCUAUGGAGGUGGUGGCGGUGGUCCUACGGCCGAGUCGUGGCAAGGCAACUCGGGAUAUGGGUAUGGUUCAACGGGGGCCGGUGCCCCUUCCUCUUACCGAGAUGAGUAUCAGUCCAUGGAAACCGGGGCGACCAGCCCACAACUUCAGCCGCCGCAGCCCAAAGAGACCCAGCUUCCCCCAUCAGAGGCGAACCCACCCCCAUCAGAGGCGAACCCACAGGAGCAGCAGCAGUAUUGGUACAAGCAGCAUCUCCAGAACUUGCAGAGGCUGAAAGCGGAGAAGGCUAAACAGGGCCAGGGCGAUGGCCCAGCAGCACCUCCACCUCCCAAACCCCAGCCUCACUCGGCGUCAGCCGCCCCUCCCCCUCCAUCGGAACCACCCAAGAACGCCCCUCCACCACCCCCACCCAAAGAGCAGCCCCCACCACCACCUCCACCUGAUGACGAAACGGUAAGGAGAAACCUGACUGUUUUACAUGUCUGAGGAUAGACUGUGAUUGGUAUUGUAG
rnacentral:lncRNA from 1 species